CAAUAGCGUAUAUUAAAGUUGUUGCAGUUAAAAAGCUCGUAGUUGAACUUCAGGCUUGGCGGGGUGGUCUGCCUCACGGUAUGUACUACCCGGCCGAGCCUUACCUCCUGGUGAGCCUGCAUGCCGUUUAUUCGGUGUGUAGGGGAACCAGGAAUUUUACUUUGAAAAAAUUAGAGUGUUCAAAGCAGGCAUAUGCCCGAAUACAUUAGCGUGGAAUAAUAGAAUAGGACGUGCGGUUCUAUUUUGUUGGUUUCUAGGAUCGCCGUAAUGAUUAAUAGGGACGGUUGGGGGCAUUAGUAUUCAGUUGCUAGAGGUGAAAUUCUUAGAUUUACUGAAGACUAACUACUGCGAAAGCAUUUGCCAAGGACGUUUUCAUUAA
rnacentral:rRNA from 1 species